rnacentral:rRNA from 1 species
GAUGAACGCUGGCGGCGUGCCUAAUACAUGCAAGUCGAGCGAACGGACGAGAAGCUUGCUUCUCUGAUGUUAGCGGCGGACGGGUGAGUAACACGUGGAUAACCUACCUAUAAGACUGGGAUAACUUCGGGAAACCGGAGCUAAUACCGGAUAAUAUUUUGAACCGCAUGGUUCAAAAGUAAAAGACGGUCUUGCUGUCACUUAUAGAUGGAUCCGCGCUGCAUUAGCUAGUUGGUAAGGUAACGGCUUACCAAGGCAACGAUGCAUAGCCGACCUGAGAGGGUGAUCGGCCAGACUGGAAGUGAGAAACGGCCCAGACUCCGACGGGAGGCAGCAGUAGGGAAUCUUCCGCAAUGGGCGAAAGCCUGACGGAGCAACGCCGCGUGAGUGAUGAAGGUCUACGGAUCGUAGAACUCUGUUAGUAGGGAAGAACAUAUGUGUAAGUAACUGUGCACAUAUUGACGGUACCGAAACAGAAAGCCACGGCUAACUACGUG